CACUCUGACUAAAAACAAUUUUUAUCUUAUGAGUUUUCCAGUAGAAUCAGAGAUCAACUCAAAACUGUAAGAAAAAGAAAGAAGGAAGAAAGAGGAAGUUUCAGCCAUCGACUAAUACAGCUAAUGGAGCAAUAAGCAUCUAUCUCCAUAUAUGUUCCUUUCCAUAAAAGUUAUUUGGUUUAGAUCUAAAGUUUGUUUUUUUUUUUUAAUAGCACAGUUUAUUUUUUUGGUCCUCUUCUGAUUCUGUUAUUUUUGUUUCCUUCAUUUCAUCAGUUGAAGUACAACAUGAAUGAGUAUAAGUAAAGAUCUUGAAUGAGUUUGUAUAUGUAAAAACUAAAAGUAACAUACCUUUACAAUUUUAGGCAACAAAUUGAUGUUAGUUGAUUUUCCAUGUUGCUUUCAGGUGGCAAUGGAGUUUUUGGAAUGAAUUGGAAUCGGUAUUUCAAAUAAAUGCUGAUGUUAUGUGAAAUCACUUAUGGGAAAAACUUCAAACUCUACUUCGUGGUACUGGCUAAAUAGUAUAAAUAGGGUGAGACAAAGGGAGCGAAGGGUCUCUGGACUACAAAUGAUCAAACAUUGAUGGUCUUUCAAAAUCUCUAAUUAAAAUGUUAGUGCUGACCGGGAAACCUCUGUCAUUUGGAAUUUUGCAGCCAAAUUGUUUAGCAGAAAGGAUGCAAGGCGAAAUCAGAUGUGCCAAGACUAGAUCAACUCUAUAGUGCUACGUACACAAGACUGUUGUCUAUUAUUGUUUUUGUAAUGGCUCCACUGACAUUAUAACAUAUGCGACUUUUAUAUUCUGAUUGUUUCCCGCAGCAACGUGCGGGCAAACAAAGCUAGUUCCUAGUACUAUACGGCCUGGCGCCGCCUUACUGUUCUGAAGAACAGUGUCAGUUGGGCUUGGGCCUGCGUCUCGCUUGGGCUUGGGCUCUUGCCAACGAAGCUCCUAGAAAAAGUGAGAGAGAAGAGCAGCGGAGGACUUGGACUCUUGAACUCUCUCUCGAUCUCUCUCGAAAGCUGUUUUGAUCUCUCUUCUUCUUCUUCUUCUUCUUCUGUUCUCUGAUUCUUCGUCUUUUUCUCUACCCUUUGCUCUCUCUUUUUCCAUCGAUCUCUCCAGUGUCUUGAAGUCUCGCCGCUUCUCUCCCACCUGAUAUUUCUCGAAUGAUCUCUCGCUCGCCGCCUCCUAAAGCUUCAGAAAAGAUCGCCGCUUCCGUUUCAUCUCUGAAGUGACCUUUACAGGUUUCCAUAGACGAAAAAGAGGUCUGAAUUUAGAAAAAAAGGAAGAGGGGAGCCCAAUACGAGAUCCAGGUAGAAAUAGUUAUGUAAUUGGGAGUUAUAUAUUGGAGUAGGUCUGGUGAAAGUGAAACAGUCAAUCACAUAACUGAUUUGGAACUCUACAUAUCACAUUUCGAGUCUACAAAGGCUGAAGAGAAAGAACAUGUUGAAGAUUCAAAGUAUAAGGUUUUGCUGCUAAAAUUGCAGAAAAUAUUGACAAGAGAAGAGAAACGGUGAAAUUCCGGCAAUUUUCCGAGCAUCACCACUUUUGGCGGCACAAGUGGCGGCGCACCACCACUUUUGGUGGUGCCAUAUAUUUUCCGGCCAAUUUCAUGGAAAAGGAAAGGUGGAGAAGUCUUGUUCAAUCACAACUAGUUCUUAACCUUUUGGUUAGGAUUCAACUCCAACACAUUUCCCUCUUUCCCACACAAUCCUCACUUCCCCCCUUUUUACCCAAAAGUCCAUCAAAGUCCCUACAAUUAUCUUCCAUGUUUUGUAGGUUGAAUCACCACAUUAUCCUACCCCUUUUCUUCAUGAUUGCCUAUUAACCUACUCUAUCUCCCCCCUCACCUUUUGCUUUGGUUUUGGAAAAGUUAUGGCAAUUUGAACACUCUUUCCUUAGUGUUUCAAACGGAUGGGAGGAGAGGAAGAAAGCUGUUUUUGGUUUUCUCUCCCACUUUUCAUCCAUCUUUAUUUAAGUCUAUCUUCUCCACUUUUUCACACACCAUCUCCCACUUCACACACUACCUCAUUUCCUCUCUCUAAUCUCCAUUAGAGAACCACCACCACUCCUCCACAAAACCUCCAUCUCCACCACCUUCAUACCAUAACCUCACUUUUCCCUUCUACCCAUCUCAUCUUAUAUACACAAAGCUUCAUCAUUUUGCCAUCCAUCCAUAUAUUCCAUCCUUUAUCAUCAAGCAAGGAGAAGGAAGAGGAGCUAGCACCAUUUGAGGACACCAUCACCAUCACCUCCAUCAUCACCAUCACAAGGAUACCAUGAGUUCAUCCCAUUCCUCCUCAACUUGAGCAUAGUCACUUUUCUUUCCUUACUCUUUAGUUUGAUGUUCAUAAUCAUAUUGAAGCUUGUAUAUUUGAUUAUGAGUGAGUAGUUAGUUUGUUGGGGCUAGGGUUGAAAGCCCUAGCCAACCUUGUAUGACAUUGAUGUAUAUAUUGUGUUUGAUGCACUUUUCAUUAGCGCCUUAAUAUGCUAGAUCAAGAGUUGAACUUCCAUGCUU